rnacentral:rRNA from 1 species
ACGGAAGGCAGCAGUGGGGGAUAUUGCACAAUGGAGGAAACUCUGAUGUAGCAACGCCGCGUGAGGGAAGAAGGAUUUCGGUUUGUAAACCUCUGUCAUUGGUGACGAUAAUGACGGUAGCCAAUGAGGAAGCUCCGGCUAACUACGUGCCAGCAGCCGCGGUAAUACGUAGGGAGCGAGCGUUGUCCGGAAUUACUGGGUGUAAAGGGUGCGUAGGCGGGGGAGCAAGUCAGGCGUGAAAACUAUCGGCUUAACCGGUAGCUUGCGCUUGAAACUGUUUCUCUUGAGUGAAGUAGAGGUAGGCGGAAUUCCCGGUGUAGCGGUGAAAUGCGUAGAGAUCGGGAGGAACACCAGUGGCGAAGGCGGCCUACUGGGCUUUAACUGACGCUGAGGCACGAAAGCAUGGGUAGCAAACAGGAUUAGAUACCCUGGUA